GAUGAACGCUGGCGGCGUGCUUAAUACAUGCAAGUCGAACGGAAAGGCUCCUGCUUGCAGGGGUACUCGAGUGGCGAACGGGUGAGUAACACGUGGGUGAUCUGCCCUGCACUUCGGGAUAAGCCUGGGAAACUGGGUCUAAUACCGGAUAGGACCACAUUUUGGAUGGUGUGGUGGAAAGUUUUUCGGUGUGGGAUGAGCUCGCGGCCUAUCAGCUUGUUGGUGGGGUAAUGGCCUACCAAGGCGUCGACGGGUAGCCGGCCUGAGAGGGUGUACGGCCACAUUGGGACUGAGAUACGGCCCAGACUCCUACGGGAGGCAGCAGUGGGGAAUAUUGCACAAUGGGCGCAAGCCUGAUGCAGCGACGCCGCGUGGGGGAUGACGGCCUUCGGGUUGUAAACUCCUUUCGCUAGGGACGAAGCGCAAGUGACGGUACCUGGAGAAGAAGCACCGGCUAACUACGUG
rnacentral:rRNA from 1 species